rnacentral:rRNA from 1 species
GUCGUAACAAGGUUUCCGUAGGUGAACCUGCGGAAGGAUCAUUACCUAGAGUUUGUAGACUUCGGUCUGCUACCUCUUACCCAUGUCUUUUGAGUACCUUCGUUUCCUCGGCGGGUCCGCCCGCCGAUUGGACAACAUUCAAACCCUUUGCAGUUGCAAUCAGCGUCUGAAAAAACAUAAUAGUUACAACUUUCAACAACGGAUCUCUUGGUUCUGACAUCGAUGAAGAACGCAGCGAAAUGCGAUAAGUAGUGUGAAUUGCAGAAUUCAGUGAAUCAUCGAAUCUUUGAACGCACAUUGCGCCCCUUGGUAUUCCAUGGGGCAUGCCUGUUCGAGCGUCAUUUGUACCUUCAAGCUCUGCUUGGUGUUGGGUGUUUGUCUCGCCUCUGCGUGUAGACUCGCCUUAAAACAAUUGGCAGCCGGCGUAUUGAUUUCGGAGCGCAGUACAUCUCGCGCUUUGCACUCAUAACGACGACGUCCAAAAGUACAUUUUUACACUCUUGACCUCGGAUCAGGUAGGGAUACCCGCUGAACUUAA